rnacentral:SRP_RNA from 1 species
UCUGUGGUGGCAUUCGCCUAAAGUCCCAGCUACUAGGGAGGCUGAGGUUGGAGAAUUACUUGAGUCCAGGAGUUCUGGGCUGCAAUGUGCUAUGCCAGUUGUGUGUCCACAAUAAGUUCGGCAUCAAUGUGGUGCCCUCCCCAGAGUGGGGGACCACCACGUUGCCUAAGGAGGGGUGAACUGGCCCAGAUCAGAAACACAGCAGGUCAAAAUUCCUGUGCUGAUCCAGUUUUUUCUAUGGUACUGUCUCCUGCAUUUGUUUUGCUUGGGCUCAGGACCUGAGAAUGCAUUUUGUUCCUUCUCUU